rnacentral:rRNA from 1 species
GAUGAACGCUGGCGGCGUGCCUAAUACGUGCAAGUCGAACGAGGCCCCCACCUUCGGGUGGGAUGUCCUAGUGGCGAACGGGUGAGUAUCACGUUGGUGACCUACCCCGAAGAGGGGGACAACUCCGGGAAACUGGAGCUAAUACCCCAUGUGAUCCUAAGGACUAGAUGCCUAAGGAUGAAAGGGAGCAAUCCGCUUCGGGAGGGGCCUGCGGCCUAUCAGCUAGUUGGUGAGGUAAUGGCUCACCAAGGCGACGACGGGUAGGGGACCUGAGAGGGUGAUCCCCCACACUGGAACUGAAACACGGACCAGACACCUACGGGUGGCAGCAGUAGGGAAUAUUGCACAAUGGGCGAAAGCCUGAUGCAGCAACGCCGCGUGCGCGAUGAAGGCCUUCGGGUUGUAAAGCGCUUUUCUGGGGGACGAGAAAGGACGGUACCCCAGGAAUAAGUCUCGGCUAACUACGUG